rnacentral:lncRNA from 1 species
AUAUCAUCAGCAUGCCUGCCUCCAGUGAUCCUGUGUGUCCUUUGGAAUCCGAGGCACUCUGUGAACCUUGAUGCAUGAAUGUAGUGAUAGUAACUACUGGUUCAGAGUCUUUUCAUCCUGAUUGCUGGGCUCUUACCAGGUUUCACACGUCUGGGGGCUCCCCGCUGGUUAGCAAGGCAGCCACUAAGAACUCUCUGAAUAGUCAUUUUCCUUUCGGAAACUGCUUAAAGAUGACUCGGGAGGACUUUUAAAUGGAGAAAUGUUCGUAUGCUGAGAUCCUGGCUGGUGACAGAAGGAUGGAAGAAGUGAUGCCUGAAGGUAUAUUCUAAAUGGUUGUUGUGUCCCUGUAGUCAAAAGGUGUGUGGGCAUGGUUUCUUAUUUUAAACAGUUUUCUUAAAUCAAUAAACAUUGGGUUAUGAAUCUCAGAUAUAGGAUCUUUUUCAACUUUUAAUCUGGACGACUUUGAAUUAAAGAAAAAAAAGAACAACUGUUCCAUUAUAAUUCAUGUAAAAUCAAGUCCAGGGCCAUGAGGGGCCGAGAUAAAGGGAACAACUAGAAGUAAGUGGAGGAUAUAAUUUCUCAGAAAAUUCUUAUAUUUUCUGUGCCUGGAAAUGGUUUCAAUACACAUCAUAAAAAUGAUAUAAAACUCAAUCAACAGAAGAACUUUUUGUUUCUUUAUUUUCAAUAUUUGUCUUAUUAAUAUUUUUCUUAUUUUAUAAUGCAAUUACAACAAUUUAGGAGACAA